GACGGAGGAUGCAAGUGUUAUCCGGAAUCACUGGGCGUAAAGCGUCUGUAGGUGGUUCGAAAAGUCCACUGUUAAAAAUUGAGGCUUAACUUCAAAGAUGCCGUGGAAACUUUCAAACUAGAGUAUGGUAGGGGUAGAGGGAAUUUCCAGUGGAGCGGUGAAAUGCGUAGAUAUUGGAAAGACCACCGAUGGCGAAGGCACUCUACUGGGCCGCUACUGACACUGAGAGACGAAAGCUAGGGGAGCAAAUGGG
rnacentral:rRNA from 1 species